UCGAGAAUCUUCCGCAAUGGACGAAAGUCUGACGGAGCGACGCCGCGUGGUGGAUGAAGUCCCUCGGGACGUAAACACCUUUUAUGAGGGAAGAAGUUAUUGACAUUACCUCAUGAAUAAGGGGCUCCUAACUCUGUGCCAGCAGGAGCGGUAAUACAGAGGCCCCAAGCAUUAUCCGGAUUUACUGGGCGUAAAGGGUGCGUAGGCGGUGCGAUUAGUCAGGUGUUAAAUCCUCGGGCUCAACCCGAGAACCGCAUUUGAAACGGUCGCACUAGAAGAAGUCAGAGGCAAGCAGAACUCACGGUGUAGGGGUGAAAUCCGUUGAUAUCGUGGGGAAUACCAAAUGCGAAGGCAGCUUGCUGGGACUUUCUUGACGCUAAGGCACGAAAGCGUGGGUAGC
rnacentral:rRNA from 1 species